rnacentral:tRNA from 1 species
GGUGAUGUUGCUAAGGGGUUAAGGCGAUGGACUGCUAAUCCAUUCGAGUUUCCGCACGUGAGUUCGAAUCUCACCUUCGUCG